rnacentral:tmRNA from 3 species
GGGGGUGCCCUGGUUUCGACGGGGUGUUUGGCGGGGAUCCGGGCGUGCCCAGGUUGGUCUCCAUGGUCCUGGUAAAAAGGAGUCCAAAACAUACUUGCAGAUUCUUUUGAACCUGCUGCUCUAGCUGCUUAAUUGCAAUCCUAGACAUGAGGCGGUAGUGCCAAGAAACAGAAACUACCAAAACUGCUAAGAGUACAGUCUAACUAUUCUUGAUGGAGUGGCCGUUAAAACCAUGUAAAAAAAUAUGCGGGGUUUAUCUCGAUCGCGUAUCGAGGUCAGUCUUGUUAACUGACGAUAAAUGUUAACUACGCACGUAGGCCGCUCUCAAGACGAUACUUCGGACGUGGGUUCGAUUCCCACCACCUCCACCA